rnacentral:rRNA from 1 species
AUGUACUUUUGUGCAAGGACGAGGCAACAAACAACUAACACCUCUUACAAUCUACCUUUAGUGUUAUCUUCUCUAUUGCAAGAUUUCCAAGAUGUAUUCCCCGACGAGCUAGCUCCGGGUAUACCUCCCCUUCGAGGCAUCGAACACCACAUCGACCUCAUCCCCGGAGCACCCCUUCCUAACAAGGCACCAUACCGCGUCAACCCCGAGGAAACCAAGGAGAUCCAACAACAAGUACAACAACUCAUCAACAACGGACAUGUACGAGAAAGCUUGAGCCCAUGUGUGAUGAGGACAUCAAUACCAAUGUUGCACCCACAACCCCUGCUACUAUACAUACUGGACAAAUUACAAGAGCUCGCGUACGCCAAUUGA